GAUCAUGGCUCAGGAUGAACGCUGGCGGCGUGCUUAACACAUGCAAGUCGAACGAAGUGUUUGUUCAAAGUUCUUCGGGAUAGAGAAUAAAUUACUUAGUGGCGGACGGGUGAGUAACGCGUGGGUAACCUGCCUCACACAGGGGGAUAACAGUUGGAAACGACUGCUAAUACCGCAUAAGACCACAGCACCGCAUGGUGCAGGGGGUAAAAAGAUUUUAUCGGUGUGAGAUGG
rnacentral:rRNA from 1 species